rnacentral:rRNA from 1 species
UACGGAGGGUGCUAGCGUUGUUCGGAAUUACUGGGCGUAAAGCGCGUGUAGGCGGCCCGCUAAGUCUGAUGUGAAAGCCCGGGGCUCACCCCCGGAAGUGCAUUGGAGACUGGCGGGCUCGAGUCCCGGAGAGGAGGGUGGAAUUCCUGGUGUAGCGGUGAAAUGCGUAGAUAUCAGGAGGAACACCGAUGGCGAAGGCAGGUCUCUGGGCUGACACUGACGCUCAUGCACGAAAGCGUGGGGAGCAAACAGG